GUCACUGUGCCUCUGCUCCUGGUUAACUCCUCAGACGACCCCCUCAUUCAUCAGUCUCUGCUGGAUAUUCCUCGCACACUCGCAGAAAAGAUGCCCAAUGUGAUAUUCGCCCUGACUCAACACGGAGGCCACCUGGGCUUCUUCGAGGGGGCCGUGCUCUUCCCUCAACCGCUCACCUGGAUGGACAAAGUGAUCGUGGAGUACACCAACGCCAUCUGCCACUGGGAGAAGAACCUGCCGGCGUGCCAGCGGAGCAGCAACCGGGGCUCUGACGCCUGCCUGCAGAGCACAGGGGACACACUCCGCGGGUAACACACAGAAGACCAAAAACAUGCAAACUCUUCUGUAUUCGCUCUACUUCAGUACUAAUGGGAAAUGUAGGAAGUCACUAAAUGGAUUAGAAGAGUUGAAGUGGAAGCUGUAAGGUGUAAACGGAAACUCGCAUAAGAUACCUGCAAAUGUAACACGACCCCAGGGUUGAAUUAGUCGUUCCUCUUGUUCCCAGUUAACCCCCGGUGUAACACGAGUUCACACUUUGCUGGUUUUUUUGGCAGCUGCUGCUCCUUGAGGGUGAUAUAAUUAGUGAGGGGGAAACACACUGCAACCAGAGGCUGAAAAUGACCUUUAACCUGCAUGUA